GGUUCGAGAUGCAGCAAUAAACAGCCUUGUGGAAAUUUACAGACAUGUUGGUGAACGUGUAAGGGCUGAUCUCAGUAAAAAAGGAUUACCCCAGUCUCGGUUGAAUGUAAUUUUUACGAAAUUCGAUGAGGUCCAAAAAUCUGGAAACAUGGUCCAGACUUCAGUGG